rnacentral:rRNA from 1 species
AUUGAACGCUGGCGGCAGGCCUAACACAUGCAAGUCGAGCGAGCGGCGGACGGGUGAGUAAUGUAUGGGGCUCUGCCUGAUAGAGGGGGAUAACUACUGGAAACGGUCGCUAAUACCGCAUACUAUCGGAUGCACCCAUAUGGGAUUAGCUCGUAGGUGGGGUAAAGGCUCACCUAGGCGACGAUCCCUAGCUGGUCUGAGAGGAUGACCAGCCACACUGGAACUGAGACACGGCCCAGACUCCUACGGGAGGCAGCAGUGGGGAAUAUUGCACAAUGGGCGCAAGCCUGAUGCAGCCAUGCCGCGUGUAUGAAGAAGGCCUUAGGGUUGUAAAGUACUUUCAGCGGGGAGGCGUUACCCGCAGAAGAAGCACCGGCUAACUCCGUGCCAGCAGCCGCGGUAAUUC